UACGGAAGGCAGCAGUGGGGAAUAUUGCACAAUGGGCGCAAGCCUGAUGCAGCCAUGCCGCGUGUAUGAAAAAGGCCUUCGGGUUGUAAAGUACUUUCAGUCGUGAGGAAGGUGUUAAGGUUAAUAACCUUAGCAAUUGACGUUAGCGACAGAAGAAGCACCGGCUAACUCCGUGCCAGCAGCCGCGGUAAUACGGAGGGUGCGAGCGUUAAUCGGAAUUACUGGGCGUAAAGGGCACGCAGGCGGUUAAUUAAGUUGGAUGUGAAAUCCCCGGGCUUAACCUGGGAAUGGCAUUCAAGACUGGUUAGCUAGAGUCUUGUAGAGGGGGUAGAAUUCCAUGUGUAGCGGUGAAAUGCGUAGAGAUGUGGAGGAAUACCGGUGGCGAAGGCGGCCCCUGGACAAAGACUGACGCUCAUGUGCGAAAGCGUGGGGAGCAAACAGGGAUAGAUACC
rnacentral:rRNA from 1 species